rnacentral:lncRNA from 1 species
AUGGCCGGCCCAGAAAACCAGGAACAGGUUAAGGGGCCAGAAGACUGGGCAGGGCCGUGGAGUCUCCGUGGGGGCCGAGCCUGUGCCCGGGGAGCGCGGAUGCUGGCAGUGAGAGACGGCGGCGCUCCCAGGAAAGGGGUCCCCCCUCGGUGCCGCGGGCUGGGAGCCGCGCAGCCCUCGCCAGCGCCCCGCCCGCCCCGAGGCCCGAGCGCGAGGCGCCGCGGGAGGAAUUCCAGCCAUUUCCUCUGCGCCGAGCGGUACCGCUGCUGUCCUAAACCUCCCGGGAUCUUCCGCCCAUCCUGCCCAAGGCCUCUUCUGAUGGAGCAGACAGGGCGGCUUUUCAGGGCCCUGUUCAGCUGUACCUUCAUCUUAAGCAACGUAUGUGCAUUGAUGGAGCUUACCUGGUGCCAAGAGUGUGGUGAAAGGCAUGGAAAUACGGUGUGUGUGCAGAGAGAGCACUGGAGGAGUGUUGCUUCAAGCCUAAGCAAUCUCAGUGUAAGUUUGCUCUGUGUCCUUCCUUGCAAUCUCUGCACCUCAUCUAUGAACCCGCACUCAGGAGAUGGAAGCAGAGGAGCAGCACUGCAUUGACUUGCCCGAAGAAAUGUUCGACUGCACAAGCAUAGCCUUGGGUGAUCUGAUUAAUCGGGGAACUCAGUUUUCACCACCCGGAGCUUUCCCACGGACAAAAGAGCCUAGCGAGCUACAGCCCUUGGGGUUGAAGAGUCAGACACGACGGAGUGACUAAGCAACAGCUUUCAUGAAGCCUUCAUGUGUGGCUCUCCCAGGAGCUCUGACAGCCUUCAGGAACAG